UAGUAUGGGGAUCUGCCCGAUAGAGGGGAAUAACUACUGGAAACGGUGGCUAAUACCGCAUAAUGUCUGCGGACCAAAGCAGGGGCUCUUCGGACCUUGCACUAUCGGAUGAACCCAUAUGGGAUUAGCUAGUAGGUGGGGUAAAGGCUCACCUAGGCGACGAUCUCUAGCUGGUCUGAGAGGAUGAUCAGCCACACUGGGACUGAGACACGGCCCAG
rnacentral:rRNA from 1 species